rnacentral:rRNA from 1 species
UAGCAGUAGGGAAUCUUCCACAAUGGACGCAAGUCUGAUGGAGCAAUGCCGCGUGAGUGAAGAAGGGUUUCGGCUCGUAAAACUCUGUUGUUGAAGAAGAACGGGUGUCAGAGUAACUGUUGACAUCGUGACGGUAUUCAACCAGAAAGCCACGGCUAACUACGUGCCAGCAGCCGCGGUAAUACGUAGGUGGCAAGCGUUAUCCGGAUUUAUUGGGCGUAAAGCGAAUGCAGGCGGUUUAUUAGGUCUGAUGUGAAAGCCCUCGGCUCAACCGAGGAGGUGCAUCGGAAACCGGUAAACUUGAGUGCAGAAGAGGAGAGUGGAACUCCAUGUGUAGCGGUGGAAU